GAGACCAUUUUUAUAACAUAUUAUUUUUUUUUAAUUACUUCAACACUGCUAUCCAAUCUUUCCUUUCACUCUGUAUGAUGUUAUAUCGACCAAUUCAUCCACCCCUCAAACUCACUGGAAAGCAAAACUCUUAGUGGCUUAUCACAGUAGCAAGAUUUUAUAUUCAUUUAUCCAAAAUUCUCCUGUUAUGGGGAUAAAAUCUUUUUUUAUUAAUCUUUGCUAGAUGUUUCCAUUGGAACAUUCAACAUACUUCAAAAGGAAUUCCCGUUCCUCUUCUACACCCGGAUUAGUUUCCUUGCUGGCAGCCUUCUUCUUGUCAUUGCCACAGCCCUUUUCCCAUGUUCUCAGACCCCAGUCACCUUUGACACACCCUCUACUUCACCACCAGAGACAGGUGGCAAACUAGCCUAUAUUUACUAAAUGCUUACCAUAUGGUAGGCACUGGUUUACCCUUUUUAUAGCUUUUUUGGGGUUUAGUUGAUAUAUACAAACUGCACAUAGGCACGCACCCACAAUAUCAUAAUCAAGGUAAUAAACGUAUCUAUCAGCUCCAAAAGUUUUUUCUAUAUGUUUGCCCAUUUUUAAUUUCUUUAUUAUUGAGUUUUGUAAGCAUUCUUUAUAUAUUCUAGACUUCUUAUCAGAUGUAUGGUUUGCAAAUAUUUUCUCCCACUCCAUGGGCAGUCUUUGCACUUUCUGGAUGGUAUUAUUUCAGGAAAAACAAAGUUAGUUUUGAUAAAGUUCAACUUUUCAAUCUUGUUUCACCUAUGCUUUUGGUGUCAUACCUAAGAAACUCUUGCCAACCCCUAUCUCCCAAGAUUUGCUGUCAUUUUUUUCUAAGAGUUUUAUAGUUUUAUCUCUUAUAUUUACAUCUAUGACCAUUUUGUGUAAAUAUUUGUGUAUGGUGUGAUGAGGGAUCCAACUUUAUUAUUUUGCAUCUAGAUAUCCACUUGUCUCAGCACCCAUUUGUUGAAGAGACUAUUCUCUCUCCCAUUACAUGGUCUUAGCACCCUUGUCAAGAAUCAGUUGAUCAUAAAUUUAAGUGUAAAUAUUUUCCCCCAUGUAAAAGGAUAGAGGGAGCUAAAGUUGGGUAUUUUCAUUCCACCAUGUAGAAAGCUAAAGCAGGCUAGAGUUGAAUGUUCCCCUUCUCCCAGGUAGGUUAGUGUCAGUCCAUUUUGUGCAGCUAUAACAGUAUACCUGAGACUGGGUAACUUAUAAUGAAUAGAAACUUAUUGGCUCCUGGUUCUGGAGGCUAGUAAGUCUAAUGUCAAGGUGCUGGCCUCUGGUGAGGGGCUUCAUGCUGCAUUAUAACAUGGCAGAAGGUAUCACACAGCAGAAUGAACAAAGAGAGGAUGAAAAGAACAAGAGCCCAGUCCCAUGAUAACAAACCCCCUCUCAUGAUAAUGACGUGCUAAGAGCAUUUGCCUAUUCACCAGAGCAGAGCCUUCACGACCUAAACACCUCUUCAGGGUCCCACCUCCCCAUACUGUCGCAAUGGCAAAUACAUUUUAACAUGAGUUUCAGAGAAGACAAACAUUCAAACCACAGCAGUUAGGCUAUCACAAAACUCCAGCAGGUUAGGCUCUGGUAAAAUAGUUUCUCUUUCAGGCAGACCUUGUUAAGAAAAACAGAAUAAUCUGGCAUAUUUCAAAAUGAUUCCUUUUCACCUCUUCUCUCCUCCCUCCCAGAGGCAGGAGGAGAUUUUUCUCUGAUAUUUACUGUGAGGAUCUGGUAGAGGUCCUGGGGGUAAAAUGUACACAGGUGUAGAAGCUCUCUGACUGGGUCUUCCUGGAGUGUUUAAUUCUCAGACUUGUCCACAAUUCACCAAUUUACAGUUCAGGUUUUCCUAUCCUAGCACUGGUUCCCAGGGUUUCUGCUCUGGUAAAGUUGUGAUUCUCUGUAUCCACCUGUCUGUCUCUCCAAUUUUGGGGGAAGCAGUUUGCCCUGCCAUGUCACUUCUCUAAAAGAGCUGAGAAGAGUUUAUUUUUCCAUUUUUUCAGCUUUUUACUUGUUGUUAGGAUACAGUGGGGACUUCUAAGCUCCUUAAAAGCCAGACCAGAAAAUGAAAGUCGAACUCUUCAUUUUUAUUAUUGUACUUUUUAGUUUUAGAAGGAUCAUUUGGAACCUCUUUAUAAUGUAUAAGUCUUUAUUGAUAGUUUCUAUUUGAUGAGACAUUGUCAUUAUAACCUUCCUUUAAUGCUUUAGACAUGGCUAACUUUAGUGCUUUGAAUAUAUUUAUAAUGAUGUCUUUGAAGUCAUUACCAGAUAAGUCCAAUAUCUGGGCCCCUUCUAAAGUCUGUUGCUUUGUUUUCUCUUGUGCACGAGUUAUUACCCUUUCCUGUAUCUUUGUAUGUCUCAUAAUUUCUUAUUAAAAACUUAUCAUUUUAGACAAAGCAUCUAGUAACUCUGUAUAUAACCCAGGAGUAGAUGUCAUUGUAAUUUGCUUCGUUGUUUAUUUAUUCAAUUGGUAACCUAGUUAAACUAAUUUGCAGAGUCUACAAAAUCUAUUUCUCCUGCAGUGUUCAGCCUUUAAUGCUCAUGAUCUUGAUCUUUUUUUUUUUUUUCUUUUCUCUUCUUGUUUUUCUCUUUUAGCCUGGCUACCCAGGGGUUGCUUCUGGGUCAUCAUAAGCCACUUAUUCAUCAGAGAUUGGAUUUAAACCUCCUUGGUUGAUUAGAUUCCUUGAUAUAUGUGGCAUGGAGGCUGCAAUCACAAUUCAGGGAGUUUACGUUUUGACCCACAUACUGGUAGCUUGGAUUUUCUUCUCUGUGGUAACUCCUGAGAGAGCACAGCCUUAGGUAUGCACAUAGUCUUCCAGAUUACCAGGGAUGUGCAUGAUUUUAUUUUUAAUCCUGGCUUCCUAGUAGUUGCCUCUGAGUCAGAGUAGUUUAUUGUUCAAGCAGUAUUUGUUCAGAGGUUGGCCCUAAGCCCCUAGUGCUGGUGGGGCUUCAGCUGUUUGCUGAUGGAUCUGUGUUCUGGUUGGCAAAUGAUUUUCAGUCUUCCUGUUCCUGAGCAGGUUCAGCCUGGGGCUUGCACACAAACUUCUAGAUGACCCAGAGAUAAGUGUGAUCCAAGGAGGGCUCUUCUUGGCAAUCUUUUUCCCUGAUUCUUCCUGUUAAAUUUCUGGUUGUUCUGCCAUUUUGCUUGUUGCUACUAGUAUUAUGGAGCUAUGAGCAUACUCUUUAAUUUUCUCCACCAAGAUCUCUGUUGUUUCAGACAACAUCAUUGAGCUGGAAUUCUUUAUCCUCUCUUCUAAAUAAGGUCAGUCCCUUAAAUACAGCUGGGGAGGUUUUCAUCCUGCCUUUCCUCCGAACAGAACUUCUGCACCACUGCACAGAAGCUGGAGGUGGAGACAGAAGCCCACUUCUAGAAUGACACCCUGCUCUACAGGUAGACGUGGGCUGGGGGGAAGGAGGUGGCAGCCCCCUGGAGCUCCUGGUCUUCCUAGCUUGUGCAUUCUGGUAUGGAACUUCCACUCUGACAGCAAGUUGGAGAAGGGGCAACUGGAGCCCCGUGUUCUUGGGACUCAUGCACCUGGAGUUGAAAUUUCACCCUAUGAGUAGAGGCAAAGUAGAAGAAGGGAGUCACAAUUGUCUCUCUCAAUCACCUCCACUAGGCAUAGAGCUUUUGCAUUCCUAGUGGAGGAAGGAGAAGGUGUGAAAUGUGGGUGGCCUGCCCUUCCUGGGGUGAUACCAAGGACCUAUGUAUGCUAGGACCUGCAGGGACAGGGAGCCCACUUCUUGACCACAGCCACCAGAGCAGAUAACCUUGAGAAGUUUCCAUAAGACAGUGCUGACGGUGGGUAGGGGGAACAAGUCACGGCUCCAAUGCCACAGACUCCUGCUGUUCUGAAGGAUAUUUAGUAGAUUUUCUUGAAAGAAUGUUUUUCCAUUUGCAUAUUUCCUUAGGACAGUUUGUAAAAAAAAAUUUAAAUAAUUAUAAUUUUCUCCAGUCAAAUAGUUGUUUUGCUAGGGAAAGAAAAUGUUGCACUCAACACUUUGCCAUUCUGGAAGGAAGCCUCAAUCCACACAUUUUUUAAAAACUUCAAGUAGUUGCCAACAUACAAAUCCAGAUUUCUUGUCUCUCUGACAAAGCAAAUAUUUAUCUCACUGCAACCACUUUUCCAGCAGAUAGCCCCUGCUCUGUCCAGGGCCAGGGUUGCUGCAGUUACUCACAGCGUAGCUCACUGUUCACCCGUUCACCAUCGCCCUCACCCAAAAUGCUCACAACAUGUAUGUUGGCAGGCAUUUGAAUUGCACCCUCUGAAACUGCAAGGGAAUUUUAGGCAAAAGCCAAAAUGCAGGUGAAUGCCAGGGACACAAAAAAGCACACACUCCUUGGAGAACUGCCCUGCUUAGUAGUAGUGCCAAGAGAUAUGAGGACGGACAGACCAGAGGGGCUGGACAUUGGAAGCUAGGAAGACUGGACUUCAUCCUAGAGGGACUAAAGGGUUUUAAGCAAAGGAUUGGUAUGACCAAAUUAACAUUUUAAAGAAACCAUUCAGGCUGCCAUGAGGACAACAGAAGGUCACUACAUAUAUGGCCCUGGAGCCUCAGAAGAACAGUCUGGAUUACAGUCCUGUGGAUUCGGGAGUCACUGCCAUGUAAGUGGCGAAUUCGUAAGUGGAUAAAAUCACCUUAACUACCAGCAGAAACGAGCCUUGGACUAAAGCCUGAGGAUGAUGAAUAUUUAAAGCACAGGCAGAGGAGCCUGGCAGAGAUGAACUUUAAAUUCUUUAAAGCCUAGUGGCAGUUCUUAAUGUCUGGUACGGGAUGGUUAUACAAUAAAUCUGUAUUUAAUUGUGA